rnacentral:rRNA from 1 species
CCAAUAGCGUAUAUUAAAGUUGUUGCAGUUAAAAAGCUCGUAGUUGAAUUUCGGGAUCAAUAUGUUGGUCGUGCCUUGGUACGUACUAGUUUAUUGGUUUCUCCCUUCUGACGAAUCAUGAUGUCAUUAAUUUGGUGUCAUGUGGAAUCAGAACUGUUACUUUGAAAAAAUUAGAGUGUUUAAAGCAGGCUCACGCUUGAAUACAUUAGCAUGGAAUAAUGAAAUAGGACGUUUGAUUCUAUUUUGUUGGUUUCUAGGAUUGACGUAAUGAUUAAUAGGGAUAGUUGGGGGCAUUAGUAUUCAAUUGUCAGAGGUGAGAUUCUUGGGUUUAUUGAAGACUAACUACUGCGAAAGCAUUUGCCAAGGAUGUUUUCAUUAAUCAAGAACGAAAGUUAGGGGAUCGAAGACGAUCAGAUACCGUCGUAGUCUUAACCAUAAACUAUGCCGACUAGGGAUCGGAUGAUGUUAAUUUAAUGACUCAUUCGGCGCCUUACG